rnacentral:lncRNA from 1 species
AAUAACCGACUCUUCGGUUCUCUAAAACUCUUUUCCUUCUCUCUACUUUCUCUCUCUAGUUUCUCUGUGAUUUUAUCGAUUAAUCUAAACAUUUACAUGAUAUCAGAGCCUUUCAACGAUCCGAUCAUGUUUAUUCGCAUAUCGGUAUCAUUUUUGAACUUUUGUUUGACGAUUUUUGACGAUUUUUCUGAGAUCGAAUGGUCAGUGAUGAUUCAGUUUUGAUCGGACAUGGUUCAAAGUGUUUUACACCAUAAUAUCCGGGUGAAUCUUCUUAACCUCAACGUUUUAACAACGUUUUGAUCGGUUUUGGGUGAUUUCUGGUGAGUUAUCGGUAUCUAGGGUUUUCGGUGGUUUUGACUUGCUGGUUUACCGUCUUCCGGUGGUCCGAUUCUCAUCUUGUGGAUGUUUGGGUAACUUUUCGACAUCGUUUCUUGUAUUUCCGGUGACUAAAUCGACGUCUGAACCUAGGGUUUCAUACCUAGGGUUUUCACUGCUAUUUGAAGGCCGAUCUUCUUCCGGUAGCGAAGAAGGAGGGUAAUUUUGUUUUAAAAUUGUACACCUGGUUUGUGCAUGUCGGUUUUGACUUUGUGUUUGAAUAUCUGGCUUUGUGUGUGACUAUUUGAUUUGUUACAUUUUUGGUUGCUGAAUCUGUUCUUCCUUGUUGAUAUAUCAUGGAUGCUAACACCAAUACUGCUAACACCAAUACUGGUACCACCAAUACUGGUCUUUUGGACUCUUCAAGUCCUUUAUUUCUAUACUCCUCCGAUGUUCCCGGGG